UGAGUAACACGUAUGCAACCUGCCCUUGACAGGGGGAUAAGCGGAAGAAAUUCCGUCUAAUACCGCAUAAUGUCUCCGGAGGACAUCCUCCGGAGACCAAAGGAAGCAAUUCCGGUCAAGGAUGGGCAUGCGUCGCAUUAGCUAGUCGGCGGGGUAACGGCCCACCGAGGCGACGAUGCGUAGGGGUUCUGAGAGGAAGGUCCCCCACACUGGUACUGAGACACGGACCAG
rnacentral:rRNA from 1 species